AAGUCCUCGUGGAUUAAAGGAGAGAACAGUGGAUAGAUCUCCUCGGCAGGAGCAGGACUGAAUGAUCCCUGCCCACUCCAGCCUGGGGCCAGUGCAGGAGGCAGGAAUCUGAACUGCCUGAUGCUCAAGAAGAGUCAUCUUUGAGCUGGCCUGAUGCCCACCUGCUUUAUUCCAGAUGUGGCCACGGAAAGUCCCUCAGGAAAGCAACCACAGGGAAGAAAGUCUU